GACGAACGCUGGCGGCGUGCCUAAUACAUGCAAGUAGAACGCUGAAGGAGGAGCUUGCUCUUCUGGAUGAGUUGCGAACGGGUGAGUAACGCGUAGGUAACCUGCCUGGUAGCGGGGGAUAACUAUUGGAAACGAUAGCUAAUACCGCAUAACAGUAGAUGUUGCAUGACAUUUACUUAAAAGGUGCAAUUGCAUCACUACCAGAUGGACCUGCGUUGUAUUAGCUAGUUGGUGGGGUAACGGCUCACCAAGGCGACGAUACAUAGCCGACCUGAGAGGGUGAUCGGCCACACUGGGACUGAGACACGGCCCAGACUCCUACGGGAGGCAGCAGUAGGGAAUCUUCGGCAAUGCACGGAAGUCUGACCGAGCAACGCCGCGUGAGUGAAGAAGGUUGUCGGAUCGUAAAGCUCUGUUGUAAGAGAAGAACGAGUGUGAGAGUGGAAAGUUCACACUGUGACGGUAUCUUACCAGAAAGGGACGGCUAACUACGUG
rnacentral:rRNA from 1 species